GCCACUGCACUGGGCCAGGAAUAUCUUUCUAUGCCACACGGUCUGGUUCUGUUACCCAGGUUGGAAUGCACUGUCAUGAUCAUAGCUCCACUGUGACCUCAAACUCUUGGGCUGAAGCAACUCUACUGCCACAAGCGACUCUCCAGCCUCAGCCUCCGAGUAACUGAGACUACAGGCAGGGAAAUGAAGAGCCACUUUCAACAAUUCUGAAGAAGAAAUAUGGGAUGUUUUGCUUCGGGAUGGAGGCUGGAGCAGGAGUUUCUGGAGUCUGCCAGUCCCCAGUUUGAAUCCCAGCUCUGCCUUUCAUCAGCUGGCUGUUGGGCAAGUUAGCUGACUUUUGUGAGUUUUCUCAUCAUUAGAAUGAGAACCCUGUUA
rnacentral:sRNA from 1 species